UUUGGUGAUGUUAGCCACAGGGAUACACCUAGUUACUUUUCGAACCUAGUAGUUAAGUCUGUGUACGCUGAAGAUACUUAGUAAUAGGGAAAAUAGGUAGUUGCCAAAC
rfam:Streptobacillus moniliformis DSM 12112, complete genome.